rnacentral:rRNA from 1 species
UCUUGCGCAAUGGGCGAAAGCCUGACGCAGCGACGCCGCGUGAGUGAUGAAGGCCUUCGGGUUGUAAAGCUCUGUGGAGGGGGACGAAUAAGGGUUGGUUAAUAUCCAGCUCGAUGACGGUACCCCUUUAGCAAGCACCGGCUAACUCUGUGCCAGCAGCCGCGGUAAGACAGAGGGUGCAAACGUUGUUCGGAAUUACUGGGCGUAAAGCGCGUGUAGGCGGUCCGUAAAGUCAGGUGUGAAAGCCCUGGGCUCAACCAAGGAAGUGCACUUGAAACUCAUGGACUUGAGUCCCGGAGAGGAAGGCGGAAUUCUCGGUGUAGAGGUGAAAUUCGUAGAUAUCGAGAGGAACAUCGGUGGCGAAGGCGGCCUUCUGGACGGUGACUGACGCUGAGACGCGAAAGCGUGGGGAGCAAACAG